UACCAGAACGGAUUCGACGGUGAGGGACGAAAGCCAGGGGAGCGAUCCGGAUUAGAUAUCAAAAAUCUCGGAUUUUUGAUUUUAGUCAAAAAUCAUCUUUCUUCGUUCGCGAAACACUACUGAAGAUGGUUGCGAGGCUAAAAUCGGAGUCAAUCCGAAAUCGGGAUUUUUGACUAAUUACCCGAGUAGUCCUGGCCGUAAACGCUGCGAGCUAGGUGUUGCGCAUUCCACGUGAAUGCGCAGUAUCGAAGCGAAGGUGUUAAGCUCGCCGCCUGGGAAGUAUGGUCGCAAGGCUGAAACUUAAAGGAAUUGGCGGGGGAGCACUACAAGGGGUGCGGCGUGCGGUUUAAUCUAAUUCAACGCAGAGAACCUCACUAGGAGCGACGGCAGAAUGAAGGCCAGGCUGAAGACCUUGCUAGACAAGCCGAGAGGUGGUGCAUGGCCGUCGUCAGCUCGUGCUGUAAGGUGUCCUGUUAAGUCAGGCAACGAGCAAGAUCUGUACCCAUAAUUGCCAGCGUGUUCAUUGAAUGAACGGGCACAUUAUGGGGACUGCCCUGGAAACAGGGAGGAAGGUGCAGGCUACGGUAGGUCUGUAUGCCCCGAAUCUCCUAGGCUACACGCGCGCAACAAUGGCAGGAACAAUGGGCCACGACCCCGAAAGGGGAAGUUAAUCCUCGAAAUCCUGCCUUAGUUUAGAUUGAGGAUUGGAACUCAUCCUCAUGACAACGGAAUCCCUAGUAAUCGGACGUUAGCAUCGUCCGGUGAAUAUGUCCCUGCUCCUUGCACACACCGCCCGUCAAACCACUCGAGCAGGGUUUGGGUGAGGUCUGCCUUCUUAGGCAGCACGAAUCUAAACUCAGUGAGAUGGGUUAAGUCGUCACAAGGUAGCCGUAGGGGAACCUGCGGCUG
rnacentral:rRNA from 1 species